CGUAGGGUGCAAGCGUUGUCCGGAAUUAUUGGGCGUAAAGAGCUCGUAGGCGGUUUGUCGCGUCUGCUGUGAAAACCCGAGGCUCAACCUCGGGCCUGCAGUGGGUACGGGCAGACUAGAGUGCGGUAGGGGAGAUUGGAAUUCCUGGUGUAGCGGUGGAAUGCGCAGAUAUCAGGAGGAACACCAAUGGCGAAGGCAGAUCUCUGGGCCGUAACUGACGCUGAGGAGCGAAAGCAUGGGGAGCGAACAGGA
rnacentral:rRNA from 1 species